GCCCGCCUAGCUCAAUCGGAUAGAGCGUCAGACUCUUAUUUGACAAUCGUGGUUGACACUCACCUAAGGCGGGAAUCUGAAGGCUGCGAGUUCGACCCUCGCGGUGGGCU